CUCACACAUACAUGACAUAACAUCUAUACUGUAUAAUGUAAAUAUCACAUCAACCUUGUUAGAUACGCGGCGAAUACCGUGUGUAACUCCAUACAUAUAAGUCCACUACUCAAUCAAUCUCGCAUUCGAAGUUCAAACGUUAUUGAUGGUGGAUAUUCAAUUGUUUUUUUGUUCGAUUAUCAAAUAUUCAAAAUGGUGAAAAAUAUUAGAGUGCUGGUUAUCUACACGGGCGGUACUUUUGGUAUGCUGAAGAAUGAGAAAGGAGUAUUGGUACCACAGAAGAACAUCGAGCAUCGAGUGAUCAGGAAGUUACCACAGCUGCAUGACAAUGAAUAUUGGCAAAAACACCUGCAGGGCACAGAUCUUCAGGAGUACCUAGCUAUACCAGAUGGAAAAGACACAGAACAUAAAAUCUUGUACAAAAUCUACGAAUAUGAUGAGCUCAAAGACUCUUCAGACUUCACAAUGGACGACUGGAUCAAACAGGCGAGAGAUAUAAAGAAAUUCUACCACGACUACGACGGUUUCGUGGUGCUCCACGGCACGGACACGACAGCUUAUGGUGCCUCUAUCCUAUCGUUCAUGCUGGAGUCUGUUGGCAAGACUGUCGUACUCACUGGAGCACAGAUCCCCAUAUUUCAACCUCGCAGCGACGGCAACAAUAACUUGUUUUGCGCCGUGAUGAUCGCCGCCACACAGCACAUACCAGAAGUCACCGUGUUCUUCGGAGCCAGGCUUUUUAGAGGCACCAGAGUAAAGAAAGUAUCAAACACAAAGAUCUACGCGUUCGACUCCCCCAACUUCCCCGCACUGUUGGAAGCCAAGGCGACGCUGGAGGUGGACCCAAAGAUGCUGAUACAUCCGCCCGGCUCUGUGCCCAACGAGUGCAGGUUGCACGACCAGCUCUGCAGGAAGGUCUAUAUACUGAAGAUGGCGCCAACUAUAGAGCCUGAGAUUAUUAGGGCUGUGUUCUCGGGGAUGGAAGGUGUAGUAUUAGAAACGUACGGCAACGGUAACAUCCCCAUCAAACGCAAGGACAUCUACAAGGAGAUCGAGGCGGCCGUGAAGAACAAGGUGCUGGUGGUGAACGUGACGCAGUGCAUCAACGGCACCGUCAUCGCCAAGCCGCUGUAUGAGACUGGGCUGGUGAGUACAUCACUCAAUUGCCGUGCUUUUCGAUUAGAAACGGCGGUUGGCGACUCCUGAAUCCACGCAUUCCACUAUAAUAUUUUUGCGCACCUCCAAAUAAUAUUUCUAUACAGCGAUUCGCCCGAAGUUUGGAGCAGCGCAAAGUUUGUUAUGUCGACAAAUGUUGGUGGAUUGUUGGCCACCUAAAUUGGCGGGCUUUUGAAUUAGAAAUGGCGGUUCACAACUUCUAAACACAGGUGAGCGCAUGGUACUGUACCAUUCUACUUGCGGAGAGCCGCAAUUAAGUUUACCAUUCUUUCUGACUGAUGGUGGUCCGUCCCCUCAGUGUAAUGGGAAUUUGUGUCUAGAUUUAUCUUUUUUUUUGGCAAAAAGUGGUGAAUAAUAUUCUUUUUCCCCAGCUCCUAUUAGAAUGUGGCGUUGUUCCUGCUUACGAUAUGACAGCUGAGGCAGCGUGGGCCAAGCUGUGCUAUGUUCUAUCAAAGAAGGAACUGAGUUACGAGGAGAAAGUUAAAUUAAUGAAGACUAAUAUCAGAGGCGAGAUGUACAAUCCAACAAACUAAUUUAUUUAUAUUUUAAGCGAUCUAAGUUUAAUUUAAUUGUGAAUAAACUAUUCUUAACUA